GAGAGGACAGGGUCUAGAAAACCUUUCUGGAGCCCAGCCCUGUAAAAUAGAGUAUACUGCAAAAAGCAAGAAUCAUUUCCAUCUACCAGCAUGUUUUCUGUCAUCUGCUCUACUAACGUGAUCCUCUUAAUGUUCAAGAAGAGCGCUGGAGAUUCCAUAGCUCAGACAGAAGGUCCAGUCACUCUCACAGUGGGGGCACCUCUGCUCCUGAACUGCACCUAUCAGACCUUUUAUUUAGAGCCUCUGCUUUUAUGGUACGUACAAUAUCUCAACGAGGCCCCUCGGCUACUCCUGAAGAGCUCCACAGACAACAGGAGGACAGAGCACCAAGGGUUCCAGGCCACUCUCCAGAAGAGCAGCAGCUCCUUCCACCUGCAGAAGUCCUCAGUGCAGCUGGCGGACUCUGCCCUGUACUACUGUUGUGUGAGGGACACAGUGAAAGAGAUUGCAGAGAAAGCUGCACACAAACCCAGAGUGCAGGAGGCUGUGGGGAGUGGCCUGUGA